rnacentral:rRNA from 1 species
GACGAACGCUGGCGGCGUGCUUAACACAUGCAAGUCGAACGAUGAAGAAGAGACACGCGAACUUCGGUUCAAAUUUCACUUCGGAUUAGUGGCAGACGGGUGAGUAACGCGUGAGCAACCUACCUCUUACAAAGGGAUAGCCUCGGGAAACCGUGAUUAAUACCAUAUGACACAUUCAUAAGGCAUCUUAAGAAUGUUAAAGCUACGGCGGUAAGAGAUGGGCUCGCGUCCCAUUAGCUAGUUGGUGAGGUAACGGCCCACCAAGGCGACGAUGGGUAACCGGCCUGAGAGGGUGAACGGUCACAUUGGAACUGAGACACGGUCCAAACUCCUACGGGAGGCAGCAGUGGGGAAUAUUGCACAAUGGAGGGAACUCUGAUGCAGCGACGCCGCGUGAGCGAUGAAGGAAUUCGUUUCGUAAAGCUCUGUUCUAUGGGAAGAAAGGGACUGUACCAUAGGAGAAAGCCCCGGCUAAAUACGUG